AGCCACAGCCAUAUCACCCUGCAGCCCAAGACUGGUCACCCACUGAAGCUAAGCAGGGUUGAGCCUGGUCAGUACCUGGAUGGGAGACCUCCUCGGAAACUAGGUUGCUGUUGGAA
rnacentral:rRNA from 1 species